rnacentral:lncRNA from 1 species
GCGUCUUAACCUUUCAAUAAAAGUCGUAAAUUGAUCAGUGCUCUGUGUGUCAUACAUAGUUACUAUAAAUAAAUAAAAAAGCUUGAAUUCUGUAUCAUGCUGUUUCUCCAUCAGCAGCCAGAGUCUGAGAGAGAGUACAGUAGAUUAUGCUUUUUUUUCCCCUCUGAACUGAUUCUUCACACUUCUAGUGUUAAAGAUAGUUCAUUUUAAAUAGGUGAGUCAUUGACCUCUUAAAUUGGGGAGAAAGUUUGGUAUAAUAGAAAUAUUCUCUAUAUUUAAAGUCCUGUAUUGUGAUCUGUGGGUUGAGGUUGGAAAUUUUUUUUUUUGUUUUUUUUUUCCUUCCCCGCUGGGGGUUAUAAUUAUGGUUGGAGUUGAUUAAUCUCUCCACUAUCUUCUCAGGUCACCACAGAUUUACUCACAUUACUCAUUCCUAUUGCUCAACAUAAGGUGGUUUUGUUUUAAUUAAGUUAUAAUUGAGUGGGAGGGGCUUACAGUAGGUAAUACCUGUAGCAGGAGGGGUUUAAUCUGUAUUGGGUGUGUCUUACCCUCUGGGUCAGGCUUAGUAACAAAACAGCAGGUAAAUAAAUAUAAUUGAGUAGAUAUUUUCUACACUCUGCAGUAGUAAGACCCUGUGAACCACCUCAGCUUCAACUGAAGAGACCAGAUUAAGGAGCAUCCCAUCCAGGAUGAAGAUUUUAAUCGUUCUAAUCAGCCUGAUCACACUCUCCUGCACUCUUCCAGUAAUUCGCACAAAAGCAAGGCCUCGUCGCCAGAUAUCAUUUGGUGGCACGUUCCCGUUCUUCAGACCAAUCAUGGGAAUAAACCCUCGGCUCAACAACGUCAACCCAGUGAUCCACAUCCCAGAUCCACCACGGCCUAGACCUUCAACCAAUACAGCCACCACAUAUUCCCAACUGAGGCCCCCAGACUGUAGAGUUCAAGAUCCCCAGAACCCCCAGAACCCUGGCGCCUUGUUCCUCAUCCCGUCAUCUGACCCCAGGGGCAGCCCCCAGGCCUUCCUAAUCCCAUCUCUCUCAGGCAACCAGAACACUUCCAACUCUUUUCCCACUCAAAUCUUUGUCCUUCCACCAUCUUCAGGUCAGAGCUUUGGGCCGGGGAGUGGACAGCUAGUACCUCCCAUUAGACCAGAGUCCAGCUCCACCCUGUCUGGAGGACAAGCGCCCGUCAUCGUUGUCCCCGGGGUCUUCCUCGCCGCGCCGGACAACCGGCCAGCCGGAGGAGUCUCACCGUGGAGUGGACAGUAUCCAGGCAAGGGUGUACCGUACCAAAACGGGGGUCCACCGUUCACAUCGGGGGGUGGCCAGUACCCAGCUGGAAAUUCACAGUACCCAAC